rnacentral:rRNA from 1 species
GACAGAGGGUGCAAGCGUUAAUCGGAAUUACUGGGCGUAAAGCGCACGUAGGUGGAUUAUUAAGUUGGAUGUGAAAUCCCUGGGCUUAACCUAGGAAUUGCAUUCAAAACUGCUAGUCUAGAGUACAGUAGAGGGAAGUGGAAUUUCCGGUGUAGCGGUGAAAUGCGUAGAUAUCGGAAGGAACACCUGUGGCGAAAGCGGCUCACUGGACCAUAACUGACGCUGAGGCACGAAAGCUAGGGGAGCAAACAGG